GAUGAACGCUGGCGGCGUGCCUAAUACAUGCAAGUCGAGCGAACAGACGAGGAGCUUGCUCCUCUGACGUUAGCGGCGGACGGGUGAGUAACACGUGUAUAACCUACCUAUAAGACUGGUAUAACUUCGGGAAACCGGAGCUAAUACCGGAUAAUAUAUUGAACCGCAGGGUUCAAUAGUAAAAUACGGUUUUGCUGUCACUUAUAGAUGGAUCCGCGCCGCAUUAGCUAGUUGGUAAGGUAACGGCUUACCAAGGCAACGAUGCGUAGCCGACCUGAGAGGGUGAUCGGCCACACUGGAACUGAGACACGGUCCAGACUCCUACGGGAGGCAGCAGUAGGGAAUCUUCCGCAAUGGGCGAAAGCCUGACGGAGCAACGCCGCGUGAGUGAUGAAGGUCUUCGGAUCGUAAAACUCUGUUAUUAGGGAAGAACAAAUGUGUAAGUAACUAUGCACGUCUUGACGGUACCUAAUCAGAAAGCCACGGCUAACUACGUG
rnacentral:rRNA from 1 species